rnacentral:rRNA from 1 species
CCUACGGGUGGCAGCAGUAGGGAAUAUUGCUCAAUGGGCGAAAGACUGAACCAGCAACGCCGCGUGGAGGAUGAAGGUUUUCGGAUUGUUAACUCUUUUUGUUAUAGAAGUUAAUGUCGGUAUCUAACCAAUAAGCACUGGCCCACACCGUGCCAGCAGCCGUGGUAAUACGGAGGCUGCAACCGUUAUACGGAAUCACUGGGCGUAAAGAGCGUGUAGGCGGGAUAGCAAGUCAGAUGUGAAACCCUCUGGCUUAACCUUAGAACUGCAUUUGAAACUGUGAGUCUAGAGUAUGGGAGAGGUAGGUGGAAUUCUUGGUGUAGGGGUAAAAUCCGUAGAGAUCAAGAAGAAUACUCAUUGCGAAGGCGGCCUGCUGGAACCUAACUGACGCUGAUGCGCGAAAGCGUGGGUAGCAAACAGGAUUAGAUACCCCUGUAGUC